UGGCGGACGGGUGAGUAACGCGUGGAAAACCUGCCGUAUACUGGGGGAUAACACUUAGAAAUAGGUGCUAAUACCGCAUAAGCGCACAGCUUCGCAUGAAGCGGUGUGAAAAACUCUGGUGGUAUACGAUGGUUCCGCGUCUGAUUAGCUAGUUGGUGGGGUAAUGGCCUACCCAAGGCAACGAUCAGUAGCCGGCCUGAGAGGGUGAACGGCCACAUUGGGACUGAGACACGGCCCAAACUCCUACGGGAGGCAGCAG
rnacentral:rRNA from 1 species